rnacentral:tRNA from 1 species
CAGAAAAUAGUUUAUUAAAAUGCUAGCUUUGGGGGCUAGAGUUGGGAGCGAUCUCUUUUCUGA